rnacentral:rRNA from 1 species
GGGUGAGUAACGCGUGGGAAUUACCUUUUAGUGGGGGAUAACUUUAGGAAACUGAAGCUAAUACCGCAUAAGACCUGAGGGUUAAAGAGGGCCUCUAUAUAUAAGCUCUUGCUAGGAGAUGAGCCCGCGUUGGAUUAGCUAGUUGGUAGGGUAAAGGCUUACCAAGGCGACGAUCCAUAGCUGGUUUGAGAGAAUGGCCAGCCACACUGGGACUGAGACACGGCCCAGACUCCUACGGGAGGCAGCAGUGGGGAAUAUUGGACAAUGGGGGAAACCCUGAUCCAGCAAUGCCACGUGUGUGAAGAAGGCCUUAGGGUUGUAAAGCACUUUCAGCGGGGAGGAAGGUAAGCUAAUUAAUACUUGGCUUAAUUGACGUUACCUGCAGAAGAAGCACCGGCUAACUCCGUGCCAGCAGCCGCGGUAAUACGGAGGGUGCGAGCGUUAAUCGGAAUUACUGGGCGUAAAGGGCGCGUAGGCGGAAGAUUAAGUUGGAUGUGAAAUCCCAGGGCUCAACCUUGGAACUGCAUCCGAAACUGGUAUUCUAGAGUAUGGUAGAGGAAAGUGGAAUUUCAGGUGUAGCGGUGAAAUGCGGUAGAUAUCUGAAGGAACACCGGUGGCGAAGGCGACUUUCUGGAUCAAUACUGACGCUGAGGCGCGAAAGCAUGGGUAGCGAACAGGAUUAGAUACCCUGGUAGUCCAUGCUGUAAACGAUGUCAACUAGCCGUUGGAUUCCCUUGAGGAGUUUAGUGGCGUAGCUAACGCGAUAAGUUGACCGCCUGGGGAGUACGGCCGCAAGGUUAAAACUCAAAGGAAUUGACGGGGGCCCGCACAAGCGGUGGAGCAUGUGGUUUAAUUCGAUGCAACGCGAAGAACCUUACCUGGUCUUGACAUCCUAAAGAAGUUGAUAGAGAAUAUUGAUGUGCCUUCCGGGAGCUUAAGAGACAGGUGCUUGCAUGGCCUGUCGGUCAGCUCCGUGUCGUGGAGAUGUUUGGGGUUAAGUCCCCGCAACGAGCGCAACCGCUUAUCCUUAAGUUGCCAGCACCGUGAAGGUGGGAACUCUUAGGGAGACUGCCCGGUGAUUAAACCGGAGG